rnacentral:lncRNA from 1 species
GCAGCCUGAGGGUAGCAGGCUGGUGCCUAGAGACCCCGCUACUUAGCAUGCCGGGAACACCCGAAAACAGGGAGAGUCUUGGCUAGGAGACUAAGGGCUCGCUUACGGAGCAACGCCUGUCGUCCUCACCGUGAGCAUUCUAGAUAGUCAGCAUCUCGCGCUCGGCCUGCGUUUUGCGCGGAGGCUGAGCGGCGCUGCCCUGCGGGCCUCUUUCCAGGAGCCAAAUUGUGCAUUGUAUGCUGGGGCUUGUAGUUAGUUGCUCGUCUUCUCCCAUUAUCCUCCACUUCCUUGAGGCCCCAAGAGUGGGAACAGCUACUUUGUGUACUCGGGCUCUCGGCCACGGGAAUUUUGGAGCUGAGACUGAUCAUCCUUUUUUAUUUUAGAAAUUGACAAAGUUCUCUUUCAAGAAUUUGAAAAGCAUGAACCUUGCCCCGCCUUAUACGACACUUUCCUGGUUCAAAUCUCUGCACCUUUUGUCGAUUUC